AAAAAUAUAAAAAAAUUCUACAUCAAUUCAACAAAACAAAUUAUUCAACCAAAUCAUAAUUCUAAACCUAUUAUACAACCAAAUCACAAUCCUAACCAAUCACCCUAACAAAAAUCUAUCAAAACUACACAAAAACCUAAGAAAUAGAACCUAAGAGAGUGGGAUAGGGUCCUUACAUGAUUUGUGUAAGAGAAGGGGGAGAUCGCCAGAGAUAUCGUCGGAUUUCAGGGGGAAAUCGCCGGAGAGAAGAGAGGAGUCGCGCAGAGGAA
rnacentral:lncRNA from 1 species